rnacentral:rRNA from 1 species
CGUUGGGACUCUUGAAGUCUUAGUGGCGCAGCUAACGCACUAAGUUGACCGCCUGGGGAGUACGGCCGCAAGGUUAAAACUCAAAUGAAUUGACGGGGGCCCGCACAAGCGGUGGAGCAUGUGGUUUAAUUCGACGCAACGCGAAGAGCCUUACCUGGCCUUGACAUGCAGAGAACUUUCCAGAGAUGGAUUGGUGCCUUCGGGAACUCUGACACAGGUGCUGCAUGGCCGUCGUCAGCUCGUGUCGUGAGAUGUUGGGUUAAGUCCCGUAACGAGCGCAACCCCUAUCCCUAGUUGCUAGCAGUUCGGCUGAGAACUCUAGGGAGACUGCCGGUGACAAACCGGAGGAAGGUGGGGAUGACGUCAGGUCAUCAUGGCCCUUACGGCCAGGGCUACACACGUGCUACAAUGGUGCGUACAGAGGGCUGCAAACCCGCGAGGGGGAGCUAAUCUCACAAAACGCAUCGUAGUCCGGAUCGGAGCCUGCAACUCGACUCCGUGAAGUCGGAAUCGCUAGUAAUCGCGAAUCAGAAUGUCGCGGUGAAUACGUUCCCGGGCCUUGUACACACCGCCCGUCACACCAUGGGAGUGGAUUGCACCAGAAGUGGUUAGUCUAACCUUCGGGAGGA